UGGUUGCUGGCAGGCCGUGGUGCAGACUGAAGGCUAGCAGGCUGAGGUGAUGGCAGGAGGUUAACAAGCCAUGAUGCAGGCUGGAGGCCAGCAUGCUUAAGGCUAGCAAGCUGGGGUGCAGACUGGUGGCUAGCAGGCCAGAAAUCAGGCUGAGGCGCAGACAGAAGGCAAGCACACUGGAGGAAACGAACUCCACAGCCAAGGUUAGAGAACACCUCCCUGCCGUGCUAUCUCUGCUCUGAGCCAGGAGGAGGGGCCAACUUUGAAUCCUACUUAUUCUGCCUUUUAAGGAAUAGUUUGACGCUUAUUUCCUUUUUGGCAUGAGGUAGAUGAGAAGAUCUAUACCACUCCCAUGCUGGUCCUGCCAGUCCCUCCUGCCCUGCAGUGACCCCUUUCCUGCUAUCACCUCACCUGAGCUUCCCCGCCCAACUUCUCACCUGCAUUUAAUUUCCUCAUUAGUCCCUCAGUACUUAUACUGGUCCCGUUUCGCUCAUUCGCUGCCAGAUUGUCUGGUGUGCAUUGCCCCCCCUUUCCAGUGGGCUGGUACUGGUUCCUGACCUGCCUGUAUUGCCUUUUUGCCUGAUCUUUGAAUUUUGGAUUCCCCUGCCUGCCCCUUGUUAAGUUUGUUUGCCUGUCUUCUGGUUGUGACCCCUGCCUGCCUUUAAACUGAGUA